ensembl:lncRNA
AUGUGGUGUGUGUCUGUGUGUCAGUUCAUCACUCUUUCAUGUGACACUGACAUGGUGCUGCUCAUCCCCCUCAUCUUUACACUCUUUCUGGAGGUAAAAUCUCAAGGAUUCUCUGAUCAGUUUUGGCUGACAGCAUCUCCAGCAUCAGUUCAGAAAGACUCAAGCGCAGUGCAGCUGACACAUGAUGAACAUGACGCUCAGUCUGAUUUGAGUAAGAAUGAGCGGCCGGACAUUAAAGUCAUCCAUGAUUCUGAAAAGAGUGAAUUUAGAAUUCUUUGUGACAUACCAGGAUCAGAUGAUGGUGGUUAUACUUGUUUUCUUUCUCUUGGAGAUGAAUAUCCACAAUUUAAAAAGAUGCAAUCUCAUGAACUGUCUGGAAAAACACAGUGUCGUUUUACAGUCUUGGAAUAUGAAUUUUCAAAUAAUCUGAAGUCAGUGGAGAAUAAAGUAGUGAGCUGCAGUUAUUCUCCAAAAAAUGCAUCAUCCAAACGAUCAUAUAGUGAGAAGUACAACCUUACAGCUUUUUUUCCUGUGAAAAUUCAGUCACCACCAACAACAAAGGGAUCAUUAUCAACUCUGGUUAAAGAAUCCAGUACUUGUUAUGAGACCACAAUAAACCCUACAACUGAAACUACUCAUCCUUCACAACCUCUCAACGUCACAUGGAACACAACAGGGGUUCUCAAAGUCGCAGCUGCUGGUGAAAAUGCUGUCCAUAGAACACCAAGAACAAAAACAUUGCUCAUCCUGACACUGGCAGCCACAAGCGGAGGGAUUUUCCUGACCGGACUCAUGGGCAUCUAUCUGUGCUACAUCAGACUGAAACCAAGGAAGAAGAGCCCUGUGAAUACAUCUGUAGCAGCCAUUCCCCAGACCUCAGAUGAUAUUGGCGCCAAUGAGGAACGUUCUGAAGAAAAUGGGAUGAAACUGUACCACGUGUACUGCACCAUCCCUGAUGUCGCUGCAGACUCUCAUGUGAUAUACAGUCUGGCACAAAUGCCAAACCAUCCUCCGCCAGUUUAA